UCCCUGGUGGCUCAGAGGGUAAAGAAUCAGCUUGCAAUGCAGGAGACCCAGGUUCGAUUCCUGGGUCGGGAA
rnacentral:tRNA from 1 species